GUGGCACAUACGGCCGUCCCCACGCCUGCCUUCCCACUAGGUUACUCAUCUUCCGCAUCUCUUGCCAUUGGUUAGAUGGUCUUAUAAUGGUGCCAGUGGCGUCCCAGUCCUCAUUCCCGAAAACUGGGCAUCAGUCGUUUUCAUCAUCUCUCUCAUCUACAUCUAAUUAACCAAGUCCUGUGUGUUUUUACCUCCACCGUGUCUCUCAGGUCUUUCCAGCCCACCUCUGCCUUAGUCACAGCCCUUGCUCCCUCUGCUUGGACCAUUGCUGUGGUUUCCAGACUGGCUUCCCUCCUGAGAGCCUCACCCCUGCCAAUCUGUUCUCUACACAGCAGCUGCAGGGACCUGGCUAAAGUGAAGACCUGAUGGUGGCAUCUGCAUCCCUCCUCGAAACCCUUCAGUGGCUGCCUGUUGCUCUUAGGAUAAACCCCAAAUUCUGAUAUCCAAGUCCUGAAGUAUACAAUCUGUCCAGUCCCCACCAUCACCGCUAGAUACCUCACUCGUCCGGAGUUUAGCUUUCCUCAUGUUUCUAAAACAUACCAAGCCCUUUCCAACCUCAGAGCCUUUGCUCAUGCCAUUACUUCUGCCAGGAGUGAUCUUACCUCGUCUUCGUCCUCCUCCCCUUCUUCCUCCUCCCCCUUUCUUCCUCUCUUCCUCAUCUUCCUCUUCUUCCCCUGUGUGCAUGAGCACGCAAGUGUGUGUGUAUGAGUGCGUGCAUGUGUGUCUGUAUCUGUGUGUCUGUGUCUGUGUGUGUGUGUAUGUUCCCCUCAGUGACCCUCAGUGAACCUGGAUGUACUCAUUUUCCAGGCAGGUUGGCUAUCCAGCAAGCCCAGGUGAUCCUUCUGUCUAGCUCCCUGCUCCCUGGGGUUCAGGUGCAUGUGGCCACCCCCAGGUUUUGUGUGGAUACUGAGGA
rnacentral:lncRNA from 1 species